CGCUUUCGGCGCCAUUUUCGAGUGAUGCCUGAGCCCAUCAAUCUAGCGGGAGAGAUGGGAUAACCUGUCCGACAGUAGAUCGCCGAUAGGACUCCACCGAAAAAAUCACUUAAAAAAUCUCCAAAAAUCACUUCAAGCCGAGGGCAGUCCGCGGAGCUUGGCCAGGGUUGGCGCAGUCGUUUGCCUGGCCUGCUGACGGCCGUCUUCUCGUGACAAGAAAGUUCAGGCUGGCGGAGAAUUGAGGACCCGAAGGAGCGGGUGCCUCGCGCCCGUCGCGCUUUGACGCUGGAACGUGAGGAGCCCCAGGAGUGGGAGUUUCCCGCUGCCGCCCUCGGGCCCGAGCGCCUCGGUCCGGACGGGGGUCGCGCUGCCCGCUGCUGCGCUUCGGGGCAGAUAGGGCUUUUGAGGCUCUAGCGGCUCCUGGGAAAGCUCCCAGUUCCUACCAAUUCUUACUCGACAGCUCGAAUGAUUUGAGCCAGUGGCGGCUUUAAGUAAUACUUGAUAGGAAAUUUAUAUUGCUUAAUUUACACAAUACAACAGGUAAGUAUGCACAGGUUUUGACCUUAAGGAGAGAGCCAGUUCUGGAGAACAACCUAACUUCUUUGAUUGAGCACUCACAUAAUGCACUGGAACAUGUUAGGAGAUUAAGGUUUAUAACGAUAAAAUGAAGACCAUGAUAAAACAGCCUUGUACUUAGUUCAUCAGUUCUUACCUUUCUUAUCUACUUAAUGAAGAUGUCUUAUGAAAAGUGUACUUCAAGGAAUGAAAUGCUGUUUAUAAUAUAUGCUGUUACCAAGGUGGAUAUUACUAUCCCUUAUUUAUGGAAAAAGUUUUAUUCUAAGUGUUGUUUCUCAUUGAGUAUUAACUAAAAGGAGAAAAAUUAAUGUCCUAAACUUUUGAGAUAGAUUUGGUUCUAGCUAUAUGCUAUGAAGAAAAUGUUGGCAAAUAAAUAAAUUUAAACCUCUUCUGUUAAAUUUCCGUGCAAGGUGACAAGAUUAACAACAAAAAGAAUUCUUGAAUUUGUUGAGAGGUUUUUCUGUCAUUUUCCUACUCUUCAAGCCCCAGACCUCAAAAGGAAUAUAUUUUGACACCUAAGGCACAUGAAGAAAGGAUUGAGAUUGGAAGCUACAGACAUUGUCUGUUCUGAGCAGAGUUUCUGACAAUAGACCACUGUAGCAAAGGGCAAUAAAUGCCACUGAGAAUAUCCCUCAACACAAAUCUUUACAUCUAAUUUACAUGUCUGAUCUGCUGACUUCUGUCUUUUCAUGACUAAAUUAUGGAGUUCAGUUCAGUUUGGACUGUUGGAUGUCCAGCACUGUGGGGAAAAUAAAGCAGUCCCAAUCCUCAUCUUAAAAGAAUUUGUGGAACCUCAGACAUUGCAGCCAGAAUUUCUCAGGGUCUCUUUUUACAAGAAGGGUAAGACAAACCUAUCCUGUUUGGCUUCCAUCUUGGGAACCCAGAGAUAUUCCAAAUUCUUACCAGA